rnacentral:rRNA from 1 species
UGGGCUUGACAUCCCACGAACCUUCCCGAAAGGGUUGGGUGCCCGCAAGGGAGCGUGGAGACAGGUGGUGCAUGGCUGUCGUCAGCUCGUGUCGUGAGAUGUUGGGUUAAGUCCCGCAACGAGCGCAACCCUCACCCCUUGUUGCCACCGGGUAAAGCCGAGCACUCUAGGGGAACUGCUAGCGUCAAGCUGGAGGAAGGUGGGGAUGACGUCAAGUCAUCAUGCCCCUUACGCCCUGGGCUACACACGUGCUACAAUGGUCGGCACAAAGGGAUGCAAGACCGCGAGGUGGAGCUAAUCCCAAAAAACCGGCCUAAGUUCAGAUUGCAGUCUGCAACUCGACUGCAUGAAGGAGGAAUCGCUAGUAAUCGCGCAUCAGCACGGCGCGGUGAAUACGUUCCCGGGCCUUGUACGCACCGCCCGUCACACCACGAAAGCCGGCUGUACUCGAAGUCGCUGAG